GCAAUAUCCUUCUUUUAAAUGGAUUUCUUAUUGUUCCAAAGAUGUGGCAUUUCCAAAAGAAAAUUCUUCCAUUUAUGCAUAGAACCUUGAACUCUAGUCUUUAAAAAUCUAGGCUUUAGUUUCAGCUCUUUUUUAGCUGUGUGGUCCUGGACAGGCCCUUUUACAUCUAGACUUGGAGAUUUAAAGAAAAUCAUAAAGAAUUAAAUGAGAUGAUUUCUAAGACUCAUUUCAUUUUAAAACUCUGAUCUUUCAGAGACGCACAAAUCCAUUCCCUCUUGCUGUGGAGGAGAAAAUACAUGAAAAUCUGAAUCCAUAUGCAUUUGUCAGGGUUCUCCAGAGACAUAAAACCAAUAGGAUGUAUGUGUUUAUAUAGAGAGAUUUGUAAUAAGGAACUGGCUCACCCAGUCAUGGAAUUCCAUAAUCUGCAUCAUCAAGUGUCAUGGUCUGUAGCUGGGAAGCUGGAGACCCAGGAGAGUCCAUGGUGCAGCUCUAGCUUGGCCUCUGACAGUGCUGGGAUUAUAGGUGUAAGCCACCACACCCAGCCCUGAGUGACAUUAUUUCAUACAAAAUUCUCAUCUCUGGAGGCCUUUGUAUUUUUAGGGGUUUUGUUUUUCAAAUGCUUUUUACCUCUUUCUAUACUUGUUCAUUUUUAAAUGUUUCCUGGCAGAGCAAUUAGUAUUUUCUGGCUUACUAGGUGCUAUUCGAUUGCAUUAGCGUUUGAAUAUUACCCAGCUAGUUGUGGAGUGGGGCAGUAAGCUCAUAAAGAAGCAAGAUAAUGGAAUACACAAAUAUUACUACGACUUUAUGGGUGGCAUACCUUGAUUCUUGAUCCACGUGGCUGUGUUCAGAUCUGGUUAGCACACAUUGACAUCAGGGGCUGAGCCACCAGUGAGAGUCAAACCCAGCAGCCCUGUCAGUCUACCUUCUCUCUUGACUUGAUCCAGCCUCAUAACUUCACUUUCCGCAGGAGAAACACACCUCUUGAGGUCCUCUGUCACAAAUAGGCAGUGUUUCUGGAGAAAGCCAGGAGGCAGAUUUUAGUGCUGUUCAGCAUCUGUGGUCUCUACUUUCUGGAUCUGGUGCAUUAUGGAGACCAUGAAAUGACAUGAAAUAGCUCAGUGCUGCCAGUGGCGGUGACAGGGACACUAGAGGUGAAGGAGGGCCCUUGGGGCAAUUCCAGCAGGUGGGUGGUGGCUGAAGGUCCUUGUCUUCUUUCUGCAGAGACUGGCCACCUGCUUCAUUCUUUCAAGAAGCACCAAAUCCCUACUUCAGUACUUUGCCCACUCGUCAUGUCAGGAGCAUGAAACUCACGAGGCCUUCAUUUACUUUUAUCCUGUAACACCUUCAAUUUUUCCCACAUCCUCCCUUGAUUCGUGGAUGGACAACUAUGGAGGCCAAUCUGGCUGAGGUGAGGACUGCUUGAGUCUAAAUUCCUCUCUCCUCAAACCCAAUUCAAACUGGCCUGAGCAAAAUGAAUGUAUUGAUCCAUAACUGAAAAGUCCAGAAUGAUCAGGCAUCAGGCAUGGUUGCAUCCAGGGGCCCAUGUAUUAGAACCAUCUCCUUCCAGUUCUGGGCUCUGCUUGCCUCCCAGUUGGUUUUACUGCACAGAGGCUUAUUCAAGUCCAGAGAGAUCUUAUCUUUCCCUACAAGUCUGUGACCUUGAUUCUGAACCUGCAUCUAUGGGAAGGGCUUGCAGUGUCUGAGUGAGCUUGGACUGUGUAAACUUUCCCACUUCUGAAGCUGGGGGUGGGGUUCACUCCACUAAGCUACAUGGCUCUAGAGUCAGGGGGUUGCCCCCUAAGUAACUGGCAGUAUUGUUACCAGAAAAAUCAUGAAUGGACACUGAGCAGAAAACUCAGCAGAUGUUUAUUUCCUGGUCUUUAGGAUUUGUUGAAGAGUUUUUUAUUUGUUUGUUUUUUAAGAAAGACUCAAAAGGAAAAAAAAAAAAAAAC
rnacentral:lncRNA from 1 species